rnacentral:rRNA from 1 species
UACGUAGGGUGCGAGCGUUAAUCGGAAUUACUGGGCGUAAAGUGUGCGCAGGCGGCCGAGCAAGUCGAGUGUGAAAGCCCCGGGCUUAACCUGGGAACUGCGCUCGAAACUACUUGGCUGGAGUGUGGCAGAGGGAGGUGGAAUUCCACGUGUAGCGGUGAAAUGCGUAGAGAUGUGGAGGAACACCGAUGGCGAAGGCAGCCUCCUGGGCCAACACUGACGCUCAUGCG